UUCGGGGGGGGCAACAUUUAUUUGUCAGGGUUCAAACUUCUCAAUUGUUUUUUGGAAGGGUUGAGAAAAUUUAUAGUGCCCUAUUUUGAAUUCUUUAAGUAUAAGGCUAAGCAGAGAGAGUGGCUGAUCCAAUUGAUUUAUCUUUAUUGUCCUCACUUGAUGUGAAAGGGAAAGGGUCAUUUAAACAUGCCAGCAAGUGAGCUAACCCUUUUUAAGAUAAAAAUCAAACUUAAAGAGGAACUCACUUGACAUAGAGAUUCAAAUCAGACAUGUUUAUAGAUGAGUGCAAAAAAUUUAAUGAUUGUCUCGCACUGAUGAAUGAGCAAGAGCCAUAUUAUCACACAAAUGAUAAUUAUCCUACAUCUGUCCAAGUUGGCUUGGUGUAUAUUUAUAUUGAAGAUUGACAAAAGACCUCACUAUAGUAGGCCACGUAUGCUUGAACCAUUUAGUUUUUGGUCAAGACCUGCUUUUUUUCUACUUGGGAAGUGUGAAAGCUGGAAACUCUGAAAAAAUUGUUUUAAGAGAGGAAUUUUGUUUAUCACUUUUGAAAUUUUUAACUGUAAAGUAUUGUAUGUAUAUUGAAUUGCAGAUCCAAUGGGAUCCAGUUCUUAGCAGUCCCAGCCUAGUCAGAAGUACAAAGUCAAAUACCAUUUGCACAUCACCAAGAGGUACAAUCUGAUGAGUAACAGGAUAUCUAAAAGCUUGCCAGGUUUCACAGGCAGUUUGAGUAUCACCAGGGCACAUCAAGAAGAAAUAUGAAGGCCAGGUUCAUAACAAGCAGUUACUUCAUUGCAAUUACAGAUUUUAAAAAAAUGAAUGAAUUUAAAUAAAUGUGUCAAUACGUAUUGUAUGUUGCUUAAACUACACAUCUGUUGAAAAAAAGGAUUAGAUGGAGUAUAGAUAUUUAGGUCCAUAGGUUUCACACAAGAUUAAAAUAUUUUUCCAAAGGGCACACUUAUCCCCCCCCCCUUUAUUAAUGUUCUAAUCAUCUACAUGUAGUACUUAUAGUAGUGAAAGCACUUUGAAUAAUAUUAGUAGUUUGAAAGGGAUAGGUUGUAUUCUUGUAAUCUAAACAAUGCAGUAUGGGCCUUUACUGAGGUCUGGGCUAUGUAACAUACAUGCCUACAGACAUAUAAAAGGUGAUAAAAAAUAAUGGAUUUUCAUUGAAAAAAAUGUGCGUAAUAAAAACAAUGUGACAGAACAAAGGGCGAAGAAAUCACUCUCAGUCCUGGACCCCAAUUCAUUAAGACUAACCACUAUUCUAACUUUGAAAUUCUGGUAAUUACUAUGGAAACAUUAAAGCAACAGAUAAAAAUUGGGGUUCCCAUGCUAGUUACAUUUGGGGCCAAUUUACCAUAAUUGAAGUCCUUUUGAAACAAGAAACUGUAUGUAUUGCUGGACAUUAAGCUGUUGAAUUCAUUUUCUGGGGGAAGUGAAAAGUUGCACUUUUU